rnacentral:rRNA from 1 species
AGAACGAACGCUGGCGGCAGGCUUAACACAUGCAAGUCGAACGCCCUCGCAAGGGGGAGUGGCAGACGGGUGAGUAACACGUGGGAACAUACCCUUCGGUUCGGAACAACGCCGGGAAACUGGCGCUAAUACCGGAUACGGCUUUUGAGCGAAAGAUUUAUCGCCGAAGGAUUGGCCCGCGUUCGAUUAGCUUGUUGGUGAGGUAACGGCUCACCAAGGCGACGAUCGAUAGCUGGUCUGAGAGGAUGGCCAGCCACAUUGGGACUGAGACACGGCCCAAACUCCUACGGGAGGCAGCAGUGGGGAAUAUUGGACAAUGGGCGCAAGCCUGAUCCAGCCAUGCCGCGUGAGUGAUGACGGCCUUAGGGUUGUAAAGCUCUUUCGCACGCGACGAUAAUGACGGUAGCGUGAGAAGAACGCCCGGCUAACUUCGCGCCAGCAGCCGC